GAUAAAUUUGGGUCUGCUAGACUACAAACUACAAAAUGAUAUUUAGCAGACCCAAUCAAUUUUUGAUAAAUUUGGGUCUGCUAGACUACAAACUACAAAAUGAUAUUUAGCAGACCCAAUCAAUUUUUGAUAAAUUUGGGUCUGCUAGACUACAAACUACAAAAUGAUAUUUAGCAGACCCAACCAAUUUUUUAUAAUUUGGGUCUGCUAGACUACAAACUACAAAACGAUAUUUAGCAGACC
ensembl:ncRNA Y51H7C.19 ncRNA